AGGACGAACGCUGGCGGUGUGCUUAACACAUGCAAGUGGAGCGACGAACCAGGGCUUGCCCUGGGGCAGAGCCGCGAACGGGUGAGUAACACGUGGGUAACCUACCCCGAUGACUGGGACAACCCGAGGAAACUCGGGCUAAUACCGGAUAUGUCCGACGUUCACGAGAACGUCGAGCAAAGGAAGCUUCGGCCUCCGCAUUGGGAGGGGCCCGCGGCCCAUUAGCUUGUUGGUGGGGUAACGGCCUACCAAGGCUGCGAUGGGUAGCUGGUCUGAGAGGACGAUCAGCCACACUGGGACUGAGACACGGCCCAGACUCCUACGGGAGGCAGCAGUCGGGAAUUUUGCUCAAUGGGCGAAAGCCUGAAGCGGCAACGCCGCGUGAGGGAUGAAGGCCUUCGGGUUGUAAACCUCUUUUCUCAGGGACGAUAAUGACGGUACCUGAGGAAUAAGCCACGGCUAACUACGUGCCAGCAGCCGC
rnacentral:rRNA from 1 species